GUCGAACGGUGAAGCCCAGCUUGCUGGGUGGAUCAGUGGCGAACGGGUGAGUAACACGUGAGCAACCUGCCCCUGACUCUGGGAUAAGCGCUGGAAACGGCGUCUAAUACUGGAUAUGUGACGUGACCGCAUGGUCUGCGUCUGGAAAGAAUUUCGGUUGGGGAUGGGCUCGCGGCCUAUCAGCUUGUUGGUGAGGUAAUGGCUCACCAAGGCGUCGACGGGUAGCCGGCCUGAGAGGGUGACCGGCCACACUGGGACUGAGACACGGCCCAGACUCCUACGGGAGGCAGCAGUGGGGAAUAUUGCACAAUGGGCGCAAGCCUGAUGCAGCAACGCCGCGUGAGGGAUGACGGCCUUCGGGUUGUAAACCUCUUUUAGCAGGGAAGAAGCGAAAGUGACGGUACCUGCAGAAAAAGCGCCGGCUAACUACGUGCCAGCAGCCGCGGUAAUACGUAGGGCGCAAGCGUUAUCCGGAAUUAUUGGGCGUAAAGAGCUCGUAGGCGGUUUGUCGCGUCUGCUGUGAAAUCCGGAGGCUCAACCUCCGGCCUGCAGUGGGUACGGGCAGACUAGAGUGCGGUAGGGGAGAUUGGAAUUCCUGGUGUAGCGGUGGAAUGCGCAGAUAUCAGGAGGAACACCGAUGGCGAAGGCAGAUCUCUGGGCCGUAACUGACGCUGAGGAGCGAAAGGGUGGGGAGCAAACAGGCUUAGAUACCCUGGUAGUCCACCCCGUAAACGUUGGGAACUAGUUGUGGGGUCCAUUCCACGGAUUCCGUGACGCAGCUAACGCAUUAAGUUCCCCGCCUGGGGAGUACGGCC
rnacentral:rRNA from 1 species